UACAGAGGUCCCAAGCGUUGUUCGGAUUUACUGGGCGUAAAGGGCGCGUAGGCGGCCUCUUAAGUCGAACGUGAAAUCCCCGGGCUCAACCCGGGAACUGCGUCCGAUACUGGGGGGCUUGAAUCCGGGAGAGGGAUGUGGAAUUCCAGGUGUAGCGGUGAAAUGCGUAGAUAUCUGGAGGAACACCGGUGGCGAAGGCGGCAUCCUGGACCGGUAUUGACGCUGAGGCGCGAAAGCCAGGGGAGCAAACGGG
rnacentral:rRNA from 1 species